ensembl:lncRNA
GCAUCUUCUUAAAAGUAAACUAGUUAUAAGUGACUGAACCAAAGAGAACAGAUUACAAAAGAAAAACAGGAUAGGAUGGAUCAUGAUAUCAAUGGGGUUCAUGUGUUGACAUCUUGUGCUGCUGAGAUUACCUGCUCCUCAGAAAAGUGAAAGAAUUAAAGCAAGGAUCUGCUACAUUCACAGUCUGUUUAGGGAAGAUAUAGAUUUUCUCUGCUUUGGAGUUCCAGAGGACAAAACUCAGAGACCAGAGAUAAAGGGGAUUGGUUUGCCAAUCACAGAAGCUGUAGAGCGCGUCUGCACUGCGGGAAUGAGUAACAGGAGAAUCCCAUACCGACCUCAGCCCAAGACAAGUAGUCAGACCCAGCUCUAUUUGCAGGGAGGACCCUUUAACACCCAGGGUGGAAGGAAGUGCUCUUGAUUUCUAUGGAGCUGGACCUAAAUUGAAAGGAGUUGUAGUCUUAGAAGCAGAUUUUCUGAUACAAAGAUUGUCAAAUUCAUUGCUUCGUAACAUCUCAUAAAACCUGCUUUGUGUUUACUCCAAUAUUUAUGUAUGCAUGUAUGUAUGUAUGCAUUUAUUUAUUUAUUUAUGCAUUCUUUCUAUGUUUUAGAACUAGGUCUUACUCUGCUUUCCAGGCUAUUUUCAAAUAUGCUACCAACAUGCCCAUCUUCUAGU